UUAAGUCUUAAAGCACACCAUAACAUCAAACCACUCUCUCCUAGGAUUUGAUAAACUCCAAAACCAGCUUUCCCAGACCCUCUACACCUCCACAAACUUCUGAGCUUUAAAUUUUGAAAUCAUGAUCAUCGUUUUUCUUAUAUUAAAAACAGCUUGGUUUUGAAACUAUCUUUUAAAAAAUUGAUACUUGACUUUUUUUUUUUUUUUUUUUUUGCAAUUGUCUGUUUCCUUAUAGGGGGAUGGUGUACCUGGUGAUAUGAAUUAACUGUGAGAAAUCUGAGAAAAAUAUUAUCUCCAAAUUCUCUUCAAAAUAGAUGCUCACAUUAUCUUUAAAUGGUUGUUAAGUGGUUCAGAAAAAAAAAUUUAAAGCUAGCAACAUUAACAGCUUCAGAAAAUAUAAACUGUGUCUCUUUAGAAGAUCAAGUUGUGCUUAAUAGCCUCUACGCCUAAUUUGUUCAGAAUCUGCACAGUCUUUGUCGCUGUAUUUUUGUUAGGAAGGAAGGAGAGGCUGUUUCUACAGGUGCCACAGAAAAAUCGAUGCUGAGCCUCGGAUUAUUGGAUCCCAUAGAACCGUGGAGACUUGGCAGUGAAAUUCUUCCAAAGCAUUCCAUCUGCGCAGGCAGGCAGAGGUGUUCCUGGUUUGGGAAGUAUAAAUCCCGUGGGAAGUCAACUGGAGGACAUUUUACGCGUCACUCAUCCUAUUAUGAGCC
ensembl:lincRNA Rmst rhabdomyosarcoma 2 associated transcript (non-coding RNA)